CCCACGCCUCCUCGCGAUUCCGCCCCACAAUCGCGCACAUCUUAACACCCUAACGAUUCUUCCGCCCCGCGCUCCCCCAGAGCGCGACCUCCGAUAUUUCUUCCGCUCCGAUCCCCUUGCCUAUAAGAACCCCCUCGUACGACCCCUUCUUCUGAUCUUCUUUCUCUUUCUUUCCUUAAUCGAUUCGUAAACUGUUAUCAGGAUAGUGUCAAGUCCGUUGAUAUUGCCGUUGGAACGGAUCGUACGAACUGCGCAGGCGGUACGAACGGUUUAAUCUGCAACAUCGGUAACAUCUGCUUAAUCGGUGGCACGCCCGUUACA
rnacentral:sRNA from 2 species